rnacentral:rRNA from 1 species
GACGAACGCUGGCGGCGUGCUUAACACAUGCAAGUCGAACGGAAAGGCCCUGCUUGCAGGGUACUCGAGUGGCGAACGGGUGAGUAACACGUGGGUGAUCUGCCCUGCACUUCGGGAUAAGCCUGGGAAACUGGGUCUAAUACCGGAUAGGAGCCAUUUUUAGUGUGAUGGUUGGAAAGUUUUUUCGGUGUAGGAUGAGCUCGCGGCCUAUCAGCUUGUUGGUGGGGUAAUGGCCUACCAAGGCGGCGACGGGUAGCCGGCCUGAGAGGGUGGACGGCCACAUUGGGACUGAGAUACGGCCCAGACUCCUACGGGAGGCAGAGGUGGGGAAUAUUGCACAAUGGGCGCAAGCCUGAUGCAGCGACGCCGCGUGGGGGAUGACGGCCUUCGGGUUGUAAACUCCUUUCGCUAGGGACGAAGCUUUUUGUGACGGUACCUAGAUAAGAAGCACCGGCUAACUACGUG